rnacentral:rRNA from 1 species
GAGUUUGAUCCUGGCUCAGAUUGAACGCUGGCGGCAGGCCUAACACAUGCAAGUCGAGCGGUAACAUUUCUAGCUUGCUAGAAGAUGACGAGCGGCGGACGGGUGAGUAAUGCUUGGGAACAUGCCUUUAGGUGGGGGACAACCAUUGGAAACGAUGGCUAAUACCGCAUAAUGUCUACGGACCAAAGGGGGCUUCGGCUCUCGCCUUUAGAUUGGCCCAAGUGGGAUUAGCUAGUUGGUGAGGUAAUGGCUCACCAAGGCAACGAUCCCUAGCUGGUUUGAGAGGAUGAUCAGCCACACUGGAACUGAGACACGGUCCAGACUCCUACGGGAGGCAGCAGUGGGGAAUAUUGCACAAUGGGCGCAAGCCUGAUGCAGCCAUGCCGCGUGUGUGAAGAAGGCCUUCGGGUUGUAAAGCACUUUCAGUUGUGAGGAAAGGUUAGUAGUUAAUACCUGCUAGCUGUGACGUAGCAA